rnacentral:rRNA from 1 species
AACGAACGCUGGCGGCAUGCCUAACACAUGCAAGUCGAACGAGACCUUCGGGUCUAGUGGCGCACGGGUGCGUAACGCGUGGGAACCUGCCCUUAGGUUCGGAAUAACUCCCCGAAAGGGGUGCUAAUACCGGAUAAUGUCUUCGGACCAAAGAUUUAUCGCCUUUGGAUGGGCCCGCGUUGGAUUAGCUAGUUGGUAGGGUAAAAGCCUACCAAGGCGACGAUCCAUAGCUGGUCUGAGAGGAUGAUCAGCCACACUGGGACUGAGACACGGCCCAGACGCCUACGGGAGGCAGCAGUGGGGAAUAUGGGAAAAGGGGCGAAAGCUUGAAACAGCAAUGCCGCGUGAGUGAUGAAGGCCUUAGGGUUGUAAAGCUCUUUUACCCGGGAUGAUAAUGACAGUACCGGGAGAAUAAGCUCCGGCUAACUCCGUG